rnacentral:lncRNA from 1 species
AUAAAGUUUUCAAUAUAAAAUUUAGUUAAAUAUGUUUGUCAUUAGCAAUUAAGAUAUCGCAAAUUUAACUAGAAAUAUAAUGUAUGUCUUAUUGUUAAAGCCAGGGGUCAGUAAACUAAUACGUAAUAUUUGAAUGAGUUUCAAUGUUUUUCUGCAGAUUUUUUUUUAAUUUCAGAUCACAAGAACUGCUUUAAGUUAAAUAAGAACCCAGAAAGCAGAGACUUCUUCCAAAAGAAAUAAAACUUCAAAAAACAGAUGACAAAACAGAAACUUGCCUUCAAAAGGGCAUAAUAUAUUUUCUGAACAAUAUACAGUACCUUAUCUAAAUUGAAUAGUUUUAUCCUGCAACCAUUUAUGGAAGAGCAGAGUACAGAAUGAGCAUUGAAAGUUUGUAUAGCUCCUCUUCUCUUUCUCAUCUUCGCUUCAAACAGAAGAACAAAAAGCUGAGAGCAAUAAACUAAAGAGCUGAAAAAAUCUAGUGUAAAGAAGUAAUUCAAAGAACAAGGAAGAAAGAAAUACGAGAGGAGGAAGGGAACAAAGAGAGGACAAAGGAAGCAGAACAAGGGAAAGAAGUGUCCUAUCAUUCUAUAGGUAGUAUUGUGUGUCUACAUGUAAACCAGGUUGUUGGUGACUAACACAAUAGACUGUUCCUAGCAUGCUGAAAUUGUCACUUGACCACUUCAUUGUCCCUUAUGUUUUGCUUUCUCUGGUCCUAUUUUUUUCUUUCUUCCUUUUUCUUUCUGUCUAUAAUUCCUAUUUCCUGUCUACCAUCGUAAUAUUUAAAAGCCUCUGUCUACCCUUUGCUACCAAUUGCUAUUGUUUUUGCCUCACUACAGCUAAGCUCAUUGAGUUGCUUUGGAAAGAGCUCAAACUCCUAUCCAAACCUCUGGAGGAGGCACAACAAAGCAGAAAGAAACUGCAGCCAGCGGUGAGAGAAGCCUGGUCCAAAGGAAAUGUACAAAUCCUGUAUCAUUAUCAUUUGUGAUCGACACUAACACCAUGAGUAGUGUGCCAGUUACAACAUUAAAAAAGAAAAAAAAAGUACUGGCUGGAGGUUAGCUCUGUUAAUUUUCAGAACUGAAAAUGAGAUGAACAGCCUAAAGUGCGGAAAAAGGGAAGCUGCAGUGUCUCAGACACCUGCUUUUCUUAAUCCAGUAUCAUUUGGAAACAAAAAAUGCUACUUUCUCAGUCCAAUACUUAUCAACAAUUAGGAGCAGGUGACUAAUUUGAUAGCUGAAACUAAAUCUGGAGGCAAUCAUUCUUACACAGGCUGUCACAAAUUUCUCUUUUCUUCAGAUGCUGAUUUUCUAUGUCAUGCUGGUGUCCCAUGGCCCUUGUGAAGUUUGGCUCCCUGUUGUACUAUUCUUCCAGAAGCAGAGAAGUAGAAACAAUCUCUGUGCCAAAGAGCUUGCAAGUCUUGAUCAAUGCAGAAGGGAAACAUUCUGUCUCUAUACUUGCACAUCAUCAUUGCCUCAACAGGAUUCUGAUUCUUGAUAACUGUAAGAUAUGAUGCAGGCCAUAUUCAUUGUAAGGUGUAAUAUGGAGGGGGUCCAGUGAAGUGCCAUGACUAUAUGGAUCUGGAGCAUUGGUCUUAGAAGGUAAGAUUGAGACUAUUCAUCCUGGAGAAGAUGCAGAGGGGAUCAUUCCAAUGUGUUUAAAUACCUCAGUGUAGGGUGCAAAGAAGAUGGAUCCAGGCUCUUUUCAGUGGUGUUUAGUGACAGGACAAGAGGCAAUGGGCAUACAAUCAGGGGGUUCCCUCUUAGUAUCAGAAAAAUUUUAUUGUGAAGGUAACUGUGUACUGGCACAGGUUGCCCAGAGAGUUUCUGGAGCCUUCUUCCUUGGAGAUCUUCCAAAGUCUGGACAUUGUUCUGGGCCAUCUGCAUGAAGUGACCCUUAUUUGAGCAAAGGUUUCGACCAGAUGACCUCUAGAAGUCCCUUCCAAACUCAGCCAUUUUUGUGAUUCUGUGAUCACAUAUAGAUGAGAGAAUUCCCUCCCAGCUGAUUUUUCACAGCAACAGAUACAUGAAGACAAAGCUACUGAACAUGAGCUUGCUGUACUUCAAGUAAACUAUUUCACUUUGUGCAAAGCAGCCAGACUUGUCAGAUUUAACCUUUCAUUGACAUUCACUCUAGGAUUCCUUCUUUUCAUUGUACUGCUCUGUGUGCAACUAACCAGAUUACUUGAGUCCUCCAGGUAAAAAUAGAUCAUUCUGCUUCUGUAUGUGCAUGAUUCACAAAACUCAGCAGAGGAACAAAGGAUAUAUGAUUGCUGAGAUGCAGAGGUACAUGUACUUAUGUUACAUCCUGAGUUCUGGCAACCUGCUAGAAUAUAUAUUCUUCACCAGUCAGCACAUUAUUGCUAUGGUGAAAAACAGAAUUCCUUAAGAGGAAAGAGAGCAUGCAGUUAUUUGGGAAAUAGCGUACAUCCUAAAAUGUUAGAUGGUCCUCCUGGCAUUUGUGUUUAAGGACAGCCCUGGCUACCGUAUAUGUACAGUAUAUUCCCAGUGGCUGACACCAACCCUGGAGAACAGGGUCACAACAAUAUGGUGAAACUGAUGCAUACAUUGUCAUUUUUUUUCUUUUUUCUUUCUUUCUUUCUUUUUUUCUCUCUCUCUCUUUUUUUUUUUUUUUUUUUUUUUUUUUUUUCCAGAGGCAUAUUUAUCAUAGGUUCAGGCUAAUGUCAGAAUUAGAUGAUUUGAGUCACUUCAUUGUAAACUUUUAUUAUAGUAGUUAUAUUUUUAAACUCAUAGAAAGAAAAGUGAUAUAAUAAUUAUUAGGAGAGGCUGCCUUAUCCUUUUGUCAGGAUUCACAACAUAUGAUAUAGUGCUGUACUACAGAAAAGAUGAAAAUAUUUGCUCUUUCUUGAAAGACAGAGUUACAGUCAUACACAAUUACAUCUGAACAGAAUGUGAAAUCCAAGGUGAUCUUUAGGUGUCAUCUGCAUUUUUAUAUUGAUUUGCCUGAUUAUUUUUCAUUAUUUGAAACUACAGCAAAUAUCAAACUUUACAUCUUUUAUGUCCCCACAACUUUUACAGAAAAAAAAAAAAAAAAGGAAAAAGAAAAAUAUACAGAAAGGAGGAAAAUUUCUGGAUAUGGAAAGCUUUUAAAACUGAUUAUAUUUCUUUUGUUGGGAAAAGAUUUAAAAUGAAAAGGUCAGCAGUGUGUGUUUUUUCCUAAGCUCUUGAACUCUUAAUGGGUGUCAGUCUGAUUUUACCAUUUUUUGUUAAUACAGCAGUAAAGCAAAGGGAAGAACAAAG